rnacentral:misc_RNA from 1 species
UAGGUUUGACAUAUAGAGAAAACUUACAUCUCUGUAAGUUUUCUCUAUAUGUCAAACCUAGGUAAGGUUCUUCGCGUUGCAUCGAAUUAAUCAGCAUGCUCCGCCGCUUGUGCGGGCCCCCGUCAAUUCCUUUGAGUUUUAGCCUUGCGGCCGUACUCCCCAGGCGGGGCGCUUAAUGCGUUAGCUGCGGCACGGAAACCGUGGAAGGUCCCCACACCUAGCGCCCAACGUUUACGGCAUGGACUAC